UGGGGAAUAUUGCACAAUGGGGGAAACCCUGAUGCAGCGACGCCGCGUGAACGAAGAAGGUAUUCGUAUCGUAAAGUUCUGUCCUAUGGGAAGAUAAUGACAGUACCAUAGAAGAAAGCUCCGGCUAAAUACGUGCCCGCAGCCGCGGUAAUACGUAUGGAGCGAGCGUUGUCCGGAAUUAUUGGGCGUAAAGAGUACGCAGGCGGUUGAAGAAGUCGAAUGUUAAAGAUCGGGGCUCAACCCCUGAAAGCAUUGGGAACAGAUAAACUUGAGUAGUGGAGAGGAAGUGGAAUUCCUAGUGUAGUGGUGAAAUACGUAGAUAUUAGGAGGAGUACCAGUAGCGAAGGCGACGUUCUGGACACAAACUGACGAUGAGGUACGAAAGCGUAGGGAGCAAACAGG
rnacentral:rRNA from 1 species